rnacentral:rRNA from 1 species
GACGAACGCUUGCGGCGUGCUUAACACAUGCAAGUCGAACGGAAAGGCCCUGCUUUUGUGGGGUGCUCGAGUGGCGAACGGGUGAGUAACACGUGAGUAACCUGCCCUUGACUUUGGGAUAACUUCAGGAAACUGGGGCUAAUACCGGAUAGGAGCUCCUGCUGCAUGGUGGGGGUUGGAAAGUUUCGGCGGUUGGGGAUGGACUCGCGGCUUAUCAGCUUGUUGGUGGGGUAGUGGCUUACCAAGGCUUUGACGGGUAGCCGGCCUGAGAAGGUGACCGGCCACAUUGGGACUGAGAUACGGCCCAGACUCCUACGGGAGGCAGCAGUGGGGAAUAUUGCACAAUGGGCGGAAGCCUGAUGCAGAAACGCCGCGUGCGGGAUGACGGCCUUCGGGUUGUAAACCGCUUUCGCCUGUGACGAAGCGUGAGUGACGGUAAUGGGUAAAGAAGCACCGGCUAACUACGUG